ACAAGCCAUACCCCUCAGCCUCAGGCAACUUACUCUCUCCCAAGGCUGGAGCUUCUCAGGACCUGCUGGGACCUCAGGAGUCAUGGACCCCCAGCAGCUGCUCUUCUUUGUGAAUGGCAGGAAGGUGGUAGAGCAGCAUGUUGAUCCUGAAAUGAUGCUGUUGCCGUACCUGAGGAAGAAUCUCCGACUCACAGGCACUAAGUAUGGCUGUUGAGGGAGAGGCUGUGGCGCCUGCACCGUGAUGGUCUCGAGAUACAACCCCAGCACCAAGAUGAUCAG